GUUUGAUGGGUAAUUGAUGGAGAACAAAGACUCCAGAUCCCUAUUCCUUAAAACUAUGUUUGGAUGGUGAAAUGGGAAUGGAAUAAGCUAGUUAUUCUAUCUUAUUUCAUGUUUUGUUCACAACCAAAGACUCCUACUUGGCCAUUUAGUAUAGGCCAAUUUUGUCCCCAAAAAAAAAAUCUACCUCAAGGUCCCCAGAACCAUGCGGUGAAUGAACUCGAGGUUCCAGAGCUUCCUGGC
rnacentral:lncRNA from 1 species